UACGUAGGGCGCAAGCGUUGUCCGGAAUUAUUGGGCGUAAAGAGCUCGUAGGUGGUUUGUCGCGUCUGCCGUGAAAACCCGAGGCUUAACCUCGGGCCUGCGGUGGAUACGGGCAAACUAGAGGUAGGUAGGGGAGAACGGAAUUCCCGGUGUAGCGGUGAAAUGCGCAGAUAUCAGGAGGAACACCGAUGGCGAAGGCAGGUCUCUGGGCAUUAACUGACGCUGAGGAGCGAAAGCAUGGGGAGCGAACAGG
rnacentral:rRNA from 1 species